rnacentral:rRNA from 1 species
CGGUAUAGACGAUGUCCGUAGGUGAGCCUGCGGAGGGAUCAUUACACAAAUAUGAAGGCGGGCUGGAACCUCUCGGGGUUACAGUUUUGCUGAAUUAUUCACCCUUGUCUUUUGCGUACUUCUUGUUUCCUUGGUGGGUUCGCCCACCACUAGGACAAACAUAAACCUUUUGUAAUUGCAAUCAGCGUCAGUAACAAAUUAAUAAUUACAACUUUCAACAACGGAUCUCUGGGUUCUGGCAUCGAUGAAGAACGCAGCGAAAUGCGAUAAGUAGUGUGAAUUGCAGAAUUCAGUGAAUCAUCGAAUCUUUGAACGCACAUUGCGCCCUUUGGUAUUCCAAAGGGCAUGCCUGUUCGAGCGUCAUUUGUACCCUCAAGCUUUGCUUGGUGUUGGGCGUCUUGUCUCUAGCUUUGCUGGAGACUCGCCUUAAAGUAAUUGGCAGCCGGCCUACUGGUUUCGGAGCGCAGCACAAGUCGCACUCUCUAUCAGCAAAGGUCUAGCAUCCAUUAAGCCUUUUUUUCAACUUUUGACCUCGGAUCAGGUAGGGAUACCCGCUGAACUUAAGCAUAUCAAUAAGCCGGAGGAA